AGAGUUUGAUCAUGGCUCAGAUUGAACGCUGGCGGCAUGCYUAACACAUGCAAGUCGAACGGUAACGCGGGGGCAACCCUGGCGACGAGUGGCGGACGGGUGAGUAAUACGUAGGAAUCUGCCCSKUSGUGGGGGAUAACCCGGCGAAAGCCGGGCUAAUACCGCAUACGCUCUACGGAGGAAAGCGGGGGAUCGCAAGACCUCGCGCUAASGGAUGAGCCUACGUCGGAUUAGCUAGUUGGUAGGGUAAUGGCCUACCAAGGCGACGAUCCGUAGCUGGUCUGAGAGGACGAUCAGCCACACUGGGACUGAGACACGGCCCAGACUCCUACGGGAGGCAGC
rnacentral:rRNA from 1 species